rnacentral:rRNA from 1 species
AUACGGAGGGUGUAAGCGUUACUCGGAAUCACUGGGCGUAAAGGACGCGUAGGCGGGUUGGUAAGUCAGGUGUGAAAUCCUACAGCUUAACUGUAGAACUGCACUUGAAACUACCAACCUAGAGUAUGGGAGGGGGAGAUGGAAUUAGUGGUGUAGGGGUAAAAUCCGUAGAUAUCACUAGGAAUACUGAAAGCGAAGGCGAUCUCCUGGAACAUAACUGACGCUAAGGCGUGAAAGCGUGGGGAGCGAACAGGAUUAGAUACCCUAGUAGUCC